AGUCGAGCGGUAACAGGGGUGGCUUGCUACCCGCUGACGAGCGGCCGACGGGUGAGUAAUGCAUAGGAAUCUGCCCGAUAGUGGGGGAUAACCUGGGGAAACCCAGGCUAAUACCGCAUACGUCCUACGGGAGAAAGGGGGCUUCGGCUCCCGCUAUUGGAUGAGCCUAUGUCUGGAUUAGCUAGUUGGUAAGGUAAUGGCUUACCAAGGCAACGAUCCUGUAGCUGGUCUGAGAGGAUGAUCAGCCACAUCGGGACUGAGACACGGCCCGAACUCCUACGGGAGGCAGCAGUGGGGAAUAUUGGACAAUGGGGGCAACCCUGAUCCAGCCAUGCCGCGUGUGUGAAGAAGGCCCUCGGGUUGUAAAGCACUUUCAGCGAGGAAGAACGCCUAUCGGUUAAUACCCGGUAGGAAAGACAUCACUCGCAGAAGAAGCACCGGCUAACUCCGUGCCAGCAGCCGCGGUAAAGACGGAGGGUGCAAGCCGUUAAUCGGAAUUACUGGGCGUAAAGCGCGCCGUAGGUGGCUUGAUAAGCCGGUUGUGAAAGCCCCGGGCUCAACCUGGGAACUGCAUCCGAACUGUCA
rnacentral:rRNA from 1 species